rnacentral:SRP_RNA from 1 species
GCUGUGCCUUUCAUCUCAGCUACUCAGGAGGCUGAGGCUGGAGGAUUGCUCGAGUCCAGGAAUUCUGGGUUACAGUGUGCUGUGCUGAGUAGAUAUCUGCACUAAGUUCAGCAUCAGUAUGGUGACCUCCUGGGAACAGGAGGCUAAGGAGGGGUGAACUGGCCCAGGUCAGAAACAGAGCAGGUCAAAACUCCUCUGCUCAUCAGUAAUGGGAUUGCAUCUGUGAACAGCCACAGCACUCCAGCCUGGGCCACAUAGUGAGACCCUGCCUCU